UGAGGAAUAUUGCGCAAUGGCCGAAAGGCUGACGCAGCGACGCCGCGUGGAGGAUGAAGUCCGUUAGGAUGUAAACUCCUUUUGCAGGGGAUGAAUGUUCCGCUAUAUGCGGACUUGACCGUACCCUGCGAAUAAGGAUCGGCCAACUACGUGCCAGCAGCCGCGGUAAUACGUAGGAUCCAAGCGUUGUCCGGAUUUACUGGGUGUAAAGGGCGUGUAGGUGGAUUUUUAAGUCGGUGGUGAAAUCCUGCAGCUCAACUGCAGAAUUGCCUCCGAUACUGGAAAUCUUGAGUGCGGCAGAGGGAGACGGAAUUCAUGGUGUAGCGGUGAAAUGUGUAGAUAUCAUGAAGAACACCGGUUGCGAAGGCGGUCUCCUGGUCCGUUACUGACACUGAGGCGCGAAAGCGUGGGGAGCAAACAGG
rnacentral:rRNA from 1 species